GCCGCGAAUCACAGUGUUGAACACGCUGCCGUAUUGCGUUUGCGUUGCCAUUCAUGCUUCGGGACACCACAACAUGCACUAGAAGACCACGAAGGUCGUCAUCUGUUCAAGACACAACUAGAGAAAAUCUGGACUCUUGAAUCUAGGCUUAAAGGAUCCGUGCGCAUGAACUUAAAGGACUCCGCAGACGCCACCAUCGAAAAUGUGGUCGCAAAGUGGCUGUAUUUUGCAGCCGGUCGGAAUGGUGGUCGCUCGCAGAGAAGGAAACCAGCAACUAACCACCAAUCAAUGUGUA